AUUCUCUCUCUCUUGUCUUGUCUACCGCCAUGUAAGACGUGUCUUUCACCUUCUGCCAUGAUUGUGAGGCCUCCCCAGCCACAUGGAACUGCAGGACUCCCAUACCCUGGGAACACCACAAGCCGCUCCUGAAGGCAAACAGAAGACUCAGAGACAGAACAGCAGAGCCUGAGCCAUAAGGAGUGUCAGCCGUGACCCUUAUGAUGGAUGAGAAGAGGUAUCAUGCCUUUUCCACCCCUACACCUGGAAGGAAGGUUCUGCAGCAAGUUCAUGAGAGACGAUAUGUGGAAUGUAAUCAGAGCAUACCUCUUAAUACUUAAAAGCCUUUGCAGGGAGAUCUCUCUUCCCAUCUCCUUCCUGGAAGACAGAAGCCUUGUGCGAGCCCCUUGUGUGAUGUCACCCCAGCUAGGGCCACCGGACGUUGGUCCUCAGCAGGGAGACUUUGGGUCCUCCACCAGGACCCAGGGCUGACCUGCAUGGCCAGGCCCCAUGGCCUGGGUAGAACCUUGUUUCUGCUCCAGAAUUCAUCUGUGUUCCCCAGUGCUCCCGGGGCCCUUGCACAGACCUCUGCGGCUCCAAAGGCUUCCUGCUGUAAUACUCUGUGCACACAGCUGAAUCCCUGACUCCACUCUGCUGAGAAGGUUGUGCUUUUUUCUAUUUUGUACCGAGGGCAACGGGAGGCCAUGGAACAGUUUCAAAGGA
ensembl:lncRNA RPLP0P2 ribosomal protein lateral stalk subunit P0 pseudogene 2